AGUGAACGCUGGCGGCAGGCCUAAUACAUGCAAGUCGAACGGCAGCACAGCAGAGCUUGCUCUGUGGGUGGCGAGUGGCAGACGGGUGAGGAAUACAUGGGAAUCUGCCCAGUCGUGGGGGAUAACGUAGGGAAACUUACGCUAAUACCGCAUGCGCCCUUCGGGGGAAAGCCGGGGACCUUCGGGCCUGGCGCGAUUGGAUGAGCCCAUGUCGGAUUAGCUAGUUGGCGGGGUAAUGGCCCACCAAGGCGACGAUCCGUAGCUGGUCUGAGAGGAUAAGCAGCCACAAUGGAACUGAGACACGGUCCAGACUCCUACGGGAGGCAGCAGUAGGGAAUAUUGGACAAUGGGCGCAAGCCUGAUCCAGCCAUGCCGCGUGAGUGAAGAAGGCCCUCGGGUUGUAAAGCUCUUUUGUCCGGAAAGAAAAGCAUCCAGUUAAUACCUGGGUGUCCUGACGGUACCGGAAGAAUAAGCACCGGCUAACUUCGUGCCAGCCGCCGCCGUAACAC
rnacentral:rRNA from 1 species